UCAGAAGAAAUGCCCAAAAUUUUCUUGAGAAAUUAUCAAUAAUAAGCAAGUAAUACUUAUAAUCAGACAAUGUAAAGGUGGAUGCAGGACCCCAUAAAUCAGCAUAUAAGUAUUCUAGAAUUUGCUUUGAUUUAUGAGUACUAGUGGGAAAAGGUAACUUAACUUGUUUCCCAAUCAAACAUUGUUCACAUUUAGUCAAAUUACCAAUAUUUGAUUUUCCAAAAACACAUUUACUUUGCAAAGCCUUUUUCACCAAUGAAAAACAGUCUAUAGUGCCAUAAUUUUGCAAGAUUAAAAUUGUCAUCUAAAACUGCUGCUGAAAGGCCCAACAUAGGUUUUGCAUUUAAAAAAUAUAAACCAUGUCUCUUCGUGAUAGAAGUGAUCAAAUCACUUCCCCUAAAGAUUUUUAUGUGUCAUUGACCCAAUUUUAUGUCAAACUCCAUGUCAUCCAACAUUUCUAGAGAUACUAGAUUUCUUUCUAAUUCUGGAAAAAAUCGGGUACGUUUUAGUAACAGAAUUCUACUAUUUUCCAAAAGUAAUUUUAUUGUUCCAAUACCUUUAACUUUGCAGGUCAUGUUGUUACCCAUGAUAACUUGGCCUCCCUUAGUUUGUUUAAGGUCCAAAAAAUAAUUUUUGUUUGGGCACAUGUGGAAAGAGCAACCUGAAUCAAGAAUCCAUUCUUGAUUUAGGUUCCUUUCAACAUUUACUAGGACCAGGCCAUUAUCACAACUCUCCUUAUUAUAAGACAUGACAACAUUACCUUUAUUUGAAUUCUUUCCUUUUAAAUCAUUUUACUUUUUGUAACAAUCUUUAGCAAAGUGACUCAACUUACCACAAUAAUAACAUUUCUUUCCCUUGGCCUUGGCCUUGGUUUUGUAUUUCAUUUUAUCAUGAUUUCUUUUCUUAGGGUCAUUUGAAAACUUUGAAUAAAAAUUAGAUUUACCAACAUUUUUGCCUUUUAACAAAAGAUUUUCUCCACUUUGAUGGUUGAUAGAAUCUGAUUUUAAUUCAAGAACCAUAUUUCUCAAGGCAUUUAUAGUGAUAUCUGUGGUAAGACUAUCUCUUCCAUAUUCCAAGGCAUUCUUUAAGUGUCUAUGCCUAUCACUAAUGGAGUUUAACAAGACCACUGCUAGCUGAUCUUUUGAUAUUUAUCAUCAUAGUUGGUAAGGUCCUAGGUCAGUUUAGUAAAUCUAUCCAGGUUCUCAUCUAAAUCAACUGAAGGGUCCAUUUUGAAAGAAAAGAAUUGUUUUAGCAAAAAAAAUUUAUUUGGAACAGUUUUUGGCUUAUAUUGGGCUUUCAGUUUAGUCCACAAUUCUUCAACAGUUUCAGUUUCUCCUAUAGUCCUGAUCACACUAUCUGAAAGGUAUAGAAAAAUUGUACCCCAUGUUAUUUCUUCUAACUCAGUCCUUUUACCAGCAGAUAUUUCAGCAGACCAUGUAUUAUCUAAGGCUUUAGCACAUUUCAUUUGCAUCAAGAUAGCCCUAAUUUUAUGACUCCACAUAUUAAAGUCCCCCCUCCCAUUUCAAACUUAGCAGUAGCCAUCACAGAAUGUUAGGAUAAUGUACAAGGCACAAGUUUGAAUUUCAAGAAUACACUGAAGGUUACAUAGAACAGGACUCUUUACAGAUCACAUAUUAGUGUUAAUCAACAAUGCACUUAGUAAGAUAAUCCCAAAACAAUGAUCACUCGAUUCACAGUAAAGAAGCAGGAAUAGAAAACAGAGAUUGCUAUCCUAUGUAUCUCAAUUGAAUUUCUCGAGCAAGAUCUUCCAAUUGUACUCCUCCAUUGUGUUGUUAUCUCAGAUUCCCAAGACUUGUUGGAGUCUUUGGACAAAGACCAAUCACAGGAGGGUGUUGCAGUACAAGGUAAAUCAAGGGAAAAUGUUCAGGAAAUACAACAGGUAAAAUUACCAGACACGAAGUAUAGGAAAGAUCUCACCAAAAGAAUUUAAGAACUCAAAUUCCUUCUGCUCGAGUUAACACAGUUUGAGGUAGUAUUCGAAUGCACAGUUUCCUUGAGGAUCAGGUAUCACUCAAAAGGCCAUGGCUCUGAUACCACUGAAAGAACGAGAAAACUUCAAGAUUAACUACAUUUUUAUGAUCGAGUCAUUCAAUAACAAAAAUAAAUGCAGAAAAUAAAAGUUCAACACAAGGAAUUUUUCU
rnacentral:lncRNA from 1 species